GGAAGGAUCAUUACUGAGUUACUGGGGGCCCUGCCCCCUCUCUCUCACCCUAUGUGUACCUACCUCUGUUGCUUUGGCGGGCCGCGGUCCUCCGCGGCCGGCCCCAUAACCGGGGCUGGCCAGCGCCCGCCAGAGGACUACCAAACUCCAGUCAGUAAACGUUGCUGUCUGAUCAAAACAUUAAUAAACUAAAACUUUCAACAACGGAUCUCUUGGUUCUGGCAUCGAUGAAGAACGCAGCGAAAUGCGAUAAGUAAUGUGAAUUGCAGAAUUCAGUGAAUCAUCGAAUCUUUGAACGCACAUUGCGCCCCUUGGUAUUCCGAGGGGCAUGCCUGUUCGAGCGUCAUUUCACCACUCAAGCUCUGCUUGGUAUUGGGCGCCGUCCUUCACCGGACGCGCCUCAAAGACCUCGGCGGUGGCGUCUUGCCUCAAGCGUAGUAGAAAACACCUCGCUUUGGAGGACGGGACGUUCGCCCGCCGGACGAACCUUCUGAACUUUUUUCUCAAGGUUGACCUCGGAUCAGGUAGGGAUACCCGCUGAACUUAAGCAUAUCAAUAAGCGGAGGAAAAGAAACCAACAGGGAUUGCCUCAGUAACGGCGAGUGAAGCGGCAACAGCUCAAAUUUGAAAGCUGGCUCCUUCGGAGUCCGCGUUGUAAUUUGUAGAGGAUGCUUCGGCGAGGGCUCCCGUCUAAGUCCCCUGGAACGGGGCGUCAUAGAGGGUGAGAAUCCCGUAUGUGAUGGGUUGCCUUAGCCAUGUGAAGCUCCUUCGACGAGUCGAGUUGUUUGGGAAUGCAGCUCUAAAUGGGAGGUAAAUUUCUUCUAAAGCUAAAUACCGGCCAGAGACCGAUAGCGCACAAGUAGAGUGAUCGAAAGAUGAAAAGCACUUUGGAAAGAGAGUUAAAAAGUACGUGAAAUUGUUGAAAGGGAAGCGCUUGCAGCCAGACUUGUCCGCAGUUGCUCAGCCGGUCUCCUGACCGGCGUACUCUUCUGCGGCCAGGCCAGCAUCAGUUCGGGCGGUCGGAUAAAGGUUCCGGGAAUGUGGCUCCUCUCGGGGAGUGUUAUAGCCCGGUUCGCAAUGCGGCCAGCCUGGACUGAGGAUCUCGCUUCGGCUAGGAUGCUGGCGUAAUGGCUGUAAGCGGCCCGUCUUGAAACACGGACCAAGGAGUCUAACAUCUAUGCGAGUGUUUGGGUGUCAAACCCAUGCGCGUAAUGAAAGUGAACGGAGGUGGGAACCCUCACGGGUGCACCAUCGACCGAUCCUGAUGUCUUCGGAUGGAUUUGAGUAAGAGCAUAGCUGUUGGGACCCGAAAGAUGGUGAACUAUGCCUGAAUAGGGUGAAGCCAGAGGAAACUCUGGUGGAGGCUCGCAGCGGUUCUGACGUGCAAAUCGAUCGUCAAAUUUGGGUAUAGGGGCGAAAGACUAAUCGAACCAUCUAGUAGCUGGUUCCUGC
rnacentral:misc_RNA from 1 species